rnacentral:misc_RNA from 1 species
GAAAUGCGAUAAGUAAUGUGAAUUGCAGAAUUCAGUGAAUCAUCGAAUCUUUAAACGCACAUUGCGCCCGCCAGUAUUCUGGCGGGCAUGCCUGUUCGAGCGUCAUUUCAACCAUCAAGCCCCCCGGCUUGUGUUGGGGACCUGCGGCUGCCGCAGGCCCUGAAAAGCAGUGGCGGGCUCGCUGUCACACCGAGCGUAGUAGCAUACAUCUCGCUCUGGGCGUGCUGCGGGUUCCGGCCGUUAAACCACCUUCGUAACCCAAGGUUGACCUCGGAUCAGGUAGGAAGACCCGCUGAACUUAAGC